AAAACACUAAGAACUCAGGCUCUGAAGAUAAGCUUCCUGAGUUGCAAUCCCAGCUCUACCUUUUGCCUGCUGUGUGACCUUUGGAAAACUAAUUCACUUCUCUGUGUCUUGGUCUUUUUUAUCUUAAAAUAGGGAUGAUGUAAUAGUGCCUACCUCUUAGAGCUGUUGUGAAGAGAAAACAAGGAGAGGAAACUAAGACUCUGAAAAGUCAAGUGAUUUUUCCCAAAGUCAUACAGCUGUAGAUGGAAGAGAGUGUACUUCAGCUUCGAAUCUGUCUAAUUCUAAAGCGUGAAAACCUGUGGUUGGCCUAGACAUUGUCGUGGUUCCUGGCCUCUCCUGUAAGAAGACAGUGAGAGGUGAGCAGCGUUCCAACCCCACCAGCUAUGCUGAAAAUGGUCUCUGGGACCAGUGAAGGAUUUGACGCCCCCACCUCUACACACCCUCAACCGCUCUCCCUAUGGAGCAGAGUGGGCACACUUAAAGUGUCACAUUUGCUCCAAAGUCUUCUCCCAUUCAAGUUGAAAUUCAUUGCCACAUGG
ensembl:lncRNA